rnacentral:rRNA from 1 species
UCCGACCCGCACGAAAGGCGUAACGAUUUGGGCACUGUCUCAACGAGAGACUCGGUGAAAUUUUAGUACCUGUGAAGAUGCAGGUUACCCGCGACAGGACGGAAAGACCCCAUGGAGCUUUACUGUAAUUUGAUAUUGAGUGUCUGUACCGCAUGUACAGGAUAGGUAGGAGCCGUAGAAAUCGGAACGCUAGUUUCGAUGGAGGCGCUGGUGGGAUACUACCCCUGCGUUAUGGCCACUCUAACCCGCACCACU